AGAGACACAAACAUAUGAAGCAUGAAACAUAUGAUAGUAACUAUUUUGUACUUUGAUGAUUUUAUUUUCUGUUCUACCUUACAGUGUUGAUGAAGAUUAGAAUCUCUGAUAGAGUUCAGUCACCAGAAGCUGAUAAAUGCUGUAUCUCAUAAAGCGAAGUGGUCUUGAGAGGAGCAGUAAACAUCAGCUGAAGAUCCACAGAAGAGCUUCACUACUGUGUCUAUGAGGAGAAAUAAAUGUGUGAUAAAUGUGUAAAUGUGAUCCAUACAGGUGCAAAGAAAAGCAGCUGAAGUGGAGAAAUGUUUGAUGCUUCAAGACUCUGAAGCUGAUUUUAUUAGGUCCACCCAGUGGCUUUUGACUAUUGAGGGUAAGAUGGUUGUGAAUUCAUACCUCAACUUUGUAGCUGGAUUUACAGUCUGGCGUCCCGGGAGCAGGCAUCUUUUGCACAGAUCUAUCUAUCAAAAUACUUCAAACUUUUUCAAGCCAACUUCAAAGUUGAUCUAGUUUAGAUUAGUCUUUUUUUUAUUUUAUCAGAACAGAAGCACUUCUCUUAUGGAGGCCACACGAGAAAUAAAGAUGACAAUUGAGGUGUUGAAGGCUUUCAAGAUCACCCCAGGGAAGUCAAUGGAGAAAGCAGCGGAAGCUGUUAAAGUAGGAGAAUUCAAACAAGUGCCCUUACGUUCAAGCAAGGAAAAUGUAAAUAGAUUCCUAUCGCCUUCAAGUCAGGAGCCUCUCUGAGGUACUUUUCAUUGACAUUAAUGGCCCCCCUCUCAAGAUGUUUGACGCUUACCCGUAUAUUCAGUCUUGGCUUAGGGAGAAGAGCUUUGACACAAUUCGAACACUGUAUAAGUCCUAGUAUUAACGUUAUGCUGUAUUAAUAAAAUAAGGGAUAAAUGAUGAGUUAAAUCCCGUUUAAAAACCUGCUAUCAGAUGCUUCAUUAGUGGCUGGGUUUCUCGACAACGAUUGAUCUGAGAGUUUAAGAGCAUUUUCUGAGUCAUUUUACGAUCUUUCGUUAUUGAUUCACGUGUGUUUCCCAGAAAUGCACUUAACACAAUCUUAGGUAUCUGUGCUUUAAGAGCUGCUUAGAGUCGCUGUCCGUUUGUCAAGUGCUGAAAUCUCAUCUUAUAGA